rnacentral:tRNA from 1 species
CCUCCUUUCUAAGGAUGAGUGAAAGUAAAAUUUCACUCUAAAUAAUAUACAUCGGUAAUGUUGACCGUCCUCAUUUCUCUUCUUAAAGUAAUGUUUCCUUCUUGUAGGGCCGGUAGCUCAGUUGGUUAGAGCACACCCUUGAUAAGGGUGGGGUCGAAAGUUCGAGUCUUUCUCGGCCCACCAAAAACCUAAAUGGGGGAUUAGCUCAUCUGGGAGAGCGCCUGAUUUGCAUUCAGGAGGUAGCAGGUUCGAUCCCUGUAUCCUCCACCAGGAAACAUUUAGUUAUUAAAACUGUAAAUAAAAAUAAUUUAUAUCAAUAUCUAUAUCCGAACAUUAAAAGUUAUUAUUUAAUGUUCAAAAUAAAAAUUUGAUCACAACAUAGAUNAAUUUUCUUUAAAAAGAAUUUUUUUCUGUGCAUAAAUCAAGCGUUUAAGGGCGUGUA